CCUACGGGUGGCAGCAGUGGGGAAUAUUGGGCAAUGGAGGAAACUCUGACCCAGCAACGCCGCGUGAAUGAUGAAGGUCUUCGGAUUGUAAAGUUCUUUUCUAAGGGAAGAAGAAAGUGACGGUACCUUAGGAAUAAGCCUCGGCUAACUACGUGCCAGCAGCCGCGGUAAUACGUAGGGGGCAAGCGUUAUCCGGAUUUACUGGGUGUAAAGGGAGCGUAGACGGCGUCGCAAGUCUGAAGUGAAAGCCCGUGGCUCAACCGCGGAACCGCUUUGGAAACUGCGUGGCUGGAGUGCUGGAGAGGUAAGCGGAAUUCCUGGUGUAGCGGUGAAAUGCGUAGAUAUCAGGAGGAACACCGGUGGCGAAGGCGGCUUACUGGACAGUGACUGACGUUGAGGCUCGAAAGCGUGGGGAGCGAACAGGAUUAGAUACCCUGGUAGUC
rnacentral:rRNA from 1 species